rnacentral:rRNA from 1 species
UACGGGAGGCAGCAGUCGGGAAUUUUGCGCAAUGGACGAAAGUCUGACGCAGCAACGCCGCGUGAGGGAUGAAGGCCUUCGGGUUGUAAACAUCUUUUAUCAGGGAAGAUAAUGACGGUACCUGAUGAAUAAGCCACGGCUAACUUA